AAUGGUUUGAAUGAGUUAUGUUUUUUUUAGUGUUUUGAAAUUGGUUUGAAUAUGCUUAAGAUGUAUUAGCAUUUAUUAAGAAAAGAUUUUGAAAAUCACUUGACAAAAUUAAAGGUUUAUUGAGAAGGUGGUUCAAGUUUGAAAAUAAGAAGGUUUUUUUGAAAAAAGGAGAAGAUUUUGAAAAUUAAAGAAGGGGAGGAGAUGAAGAGACUAUCCUAGAACAUAAAGUAAAAUCUAGGGAGGAAAGAUCUA
rnacentral:lncRNA from 1 species